AGUAGUAAUUCAAUUACUACACCAGAUAGUCUUCAUCACGUUUGCCGUCGUUUGGGGUUUGGUUUAAUCGGUGGCGAAGGGGCUGGGGAAGGCAAGAUGCACGUAGCUUUACCCACUCAUCGCUCUGAGUCUGUUUCUACUUUCUAGGGACUGAAUCAUGACCUCUAGGUUGGCGGAAAAACAAGUUUACGUUAUGCUCGUUUCACUUGUUGCAGGAUGGGUAGUGAAGAAGUUAGAGAGAACUUUCCGGAUUCUUAAAGAUUUCAUGGCAAGUGUCACAAAACUUGAAGAAUUGGGGAAUUUUGGAAGCAGACUUCUUAGUGGCUUUCAGCAAGCACUUGAACUACUUCGACGGCCUCCAAUAAACACGACAUCUAAAUUAAUUGAUAACAUCAUCAAAGCAAACGACACAAAGAGAGUUAAAUCCUAUAUUGCGACUGGCUGUAUCAACAACCAUGACAUGGUACAGAAUAUGAGCAAGUAAGUACAUACAUGCCUACUUGGACUUCAAGACCAUAUAAGUAACGCGAAAAGCACACUAGAUGCACUUGAAUCUCUCGUGGAGGAUGUAGCCGAUGUUAUGAAAAGCUGAAAAUGAGUGCUUAUCACUUCCUCGUGGUGAAUAUUCUGGCGAUGAAUUAGAUCAAAAAUGAAAUCAACACAGAAACAAAAUCAACACAAAGAGGAAGAGAGUGUUUUAGUUUAGUGGUUUCCAAUAACAAUUGUUGUUUAGGCACGUAUCUUGUCUUGUAUAGUGUUUAAAUUUGUUAAUGUCGAGUUCAUUAUUUUUCUUGGUGUAUAAAAUGAAUUUAGAGUUGCUAAUAGUAUCUUGAUCAGAUGUUGAUGGGUGUGUUGGUCUGUCAGCCUGGGCAUAUAGUUUGUAUUGAACAUAUGAAUAAUUCCUUGUGUGAAUUGUAAAUUCAUACUAGAAUUUUCAGGUUGAAUUCUCAUUUACUACAA